rnacentral:tRNA from 1 species
GGGAUUGUGGCUCAGCGGUAGAGCGCUCAUCUAGCACGUGAGAAGCUCUGGGUUUGAUGCUCAGCACCA